UACGAAGGGGGCUAGCGUUAAUCGGAAUUACUGGGCGUAAAGCGCACGCAGGCGGUUUGUUAAGUCAGAUGUGAAAUCCCCGGGCUCAACCUGGGAACUGCAUUUGAAACUGGCAAGCUUGAGUCUCGUAGAGGGGGGUAGAAUUCCAGGUGUAGCGGUGAAAUGCGUAGAGAUCUGGAGGAAUACCGGUGGCGAAGGCGGCCCCCUGGACGAAGACUGACGCUCAGGUGCGAAAGCGUGGGGAGCAAACAGG
rnacentral:rRNA from 1 species